GAGUGGCAAAAAACUAAUUUUUGAACUAACUUGAGAAGCAGCUGCUGAUCUGAUUAUUAAUGAGGGAGGAGGCAUUUUUUGUUUCGUUGUGGAAGAGUCAUUCCUUCUGCAGUUUUGCUAGUACGAUGGUCAAAAGUUGUUGUGCUGUUGGCUGCAGUAACCGGUCUAAGGUUGGUUCGGUUGUCAGUUUCUACCGCUUUCCGGCAGACCCUGUCGUCGUUGUCAUCGCAUCGACAUGACAGACCCUGUGAAACGGAAGAAGUGGACUGUAGCUGUUCGUCGUGACAAGUGGUCACCAAAUCAAAACACUUGGCUGUGCUCUGCACAUUUUGUUGGUGGAAAGAAGAGUGAUGACCUGUGGAGAUCCCUGUGGAGAGCAGCGAUAGGACCGACUCAGCUAGUCCAAACACCGGUGGUAAAUGCUGUCAUCACGAGUCAGAAUUCGAUAAUUUGAAAUGUGAGAACUUGCUGCUGAGAGAGGAGGUGAAGAAAUUAAGGGCCCAAAACCCAACUCUCCGUGGUGGAGCAGCACUUUCUGAGAACGAUCUGAUAUGUAAUGAUGACAAGGUGAAGCUCUACACCGGAUUGCCAACGUACGCUGUGCUCAUCACUGUUUUUGAGUUUGUUUCCAGCGACGUUGAGCGUCACCACCGCUCGGCAACCUCAUUGUUCACGCUGUUCUUGAUGACGCUAAUGAAGCUCCGCCUGAACUUAAAUGAUUCUGACCUUGAGUAUCGUUUUGGUGUGGCCCAGAGUACCGUGUCGAGGUAUGUGCUGAAGUGGGUGAACAUUAUGUAUGUGCGUAUGAAGCCACUUGUAAGAUGGCCAGAUCCGGGUGAUCUAGGCAAGACAAUGCCGCCAGAGUUCGCCAAGAAUUUCAAGAAGUGUGUGUGCAUCAUCGGCUUCGAAGUAUUCUGCUAGCGUCCCUCUGAUCUGAUGGUGAGAGCGCAGUCAUACUCACAUUAUAAAUCGCACAACACGAUCAAGUUCCUCAUUGCCAUUACACCGCAAGGUGUAAUAUCGUUCAUCUCACAAGCCUGGGGUGGGAGGACAUCGGAUAAGCACAUCACCGAGAAUUGUGGCUUUCUGGAGAAACUCCUCCCGGGUGACCAGGUACUGGCAGAUAGGGGCUUCACUGUACAAGACAGCGUAGGUCUGUACUGUGCUGAGCUUGUGAUCCCACCAUUCACGAGAGGGAAGAGCCAGUUGUCUCGAAUUGAAAUUGACAAAGCGAGACGGCUCUCCCGAGUCCGGAUUCAUGUUGAGCUUGUGAUUGGUGUGCUACGCAACAAGUAUACACUGUUGCAAUCCACAUUGCCGAUCAACCUCCUCAUGCGUGACAGCAGUGAUGCAAACAUUGCUGUCAUUGACAAGAUUGCCACUGUGUGCUGCGCGUUGUGCAAAUGCUGUGAGUCAGUCGUGCCUUUGGCUUAGCAGGGAUGUAUCCUUAGCUCUGAGACAAAGCCAGAGCUGGAUAGCUGGAUGUGUAUAGUAGUGCUUGCUCCAUCUCCGGACAGCUAGCUGUUUCGACUCCGUGAGGGCUCAUCAUACUAACCUUUUUGCAUCAAACUUCAUGUCAAAGUCCUUCAUAAAAUCCCCAUCUCUCUCUCUCUCUUUCUAAUUUUGUAUGCUUCACCCUGACUGUCAUGUAUGAUUUCUUCCUUUCUUGGUCUUUUAGUGAUGGCUUGGACAAUUCACUUGUCCAGGCGAUAAGGCAGUCUCUCUCUCUCUCUUAUCUUUGCAUGCUUUACCCUGACUCACAUGUACUAUUUCUUUCCUUUAUUGGUCAUGCAGUGAUAGCUUGGACAAUUCAUUCGUCCAGGCAAUAAUGCA